AUUGAACGCUGGCGGCAGGCCUAACACAUGCAAGUCGAACGGUAACAGGAAGAAGCUUGCUUCUUUGCUGACGAGUGGCGGACGGGUGAGUAAUGUCUGGGAAACUGCCUGAUGGAGGGGGAUAACUACUGGAAACGGUAGCCAAUACCGCAUAACGUCGCAAGACCAAAGAGGGGGAACUUCGGGCCUCUUGCCAUCGGAUGUGCCCAGAUGGGAUUAGCUAGUAGGUGGGGUAACGGCUCACCUAGGCGACGGUCCCUAGCUGGUCUGAGAGGAUGGCCAGCGACACUGGAACUGAGACACGGUCCAGGCUCCUACGGGAGGCAGCAGUGGGGAAUAUUGCACAAUGGGCGCAAGCCUGAUGCAGCCAGGCCGCGUGUAUGAAGAAGGCUUUCGGGUUGUAAAGUACUUUCAGCGGGGAGGAAGGGAGUAAAGUUAAUACCUUGUCUCAUUGACGUUACCCGCAGAAGAAGCACCGGCUAACUCCGUG
rnacentral:rRNA from 1 species